rnacentral:rRNA from 2 species
UAUUGACAAUGAAGAGUUUGAUCCUGGCUCAGGAUGAACGCUAGCGAUAGGCUUAACACAUGCAAGUCGAGGGGCAGCAUGGUCUUAGCUUGCUAAGACUGAUGGCGACCGGCGCACGGGUGCGUAACGCGUAUGCAACUUGCCUCACAGAGGGGGAUAACCCGUCGAAAGACGGACUAAUAC